CAUCCAGAGGGAGAGCUGCUGGAAACUCCUCUCUACACUGCAAGGGAGAGCAGGGGCUGCUGCCAAGCCAGGAGCUGGCAGAGCCAUCCCCAGCACAUGGGCUGACGUUUGGGCUGGGCUGAACUCAGGGGGAAUCUUAAUUUAUUUUUCACUGCAGAUUUCAGCGUGGCUGAACUUUUAUUUCCCCUUUAAAACAAAAUAAGAGGGUGCACUUUUGCCUUCUGUCUCAAUCUUUUGCAACCUUCCAACACUGCCUCAAACCUGUUUCGUCCGCUUUCUGUUUUGAAACAGCGAGAAGACGACCAUAAAGCUCACUAUAAUCUGUCUCACCUGGGUGACUCACGCAGAAAUGCCACCAGCCCGUGGCGGUGGCCCCGCGGUCCCCAGGGAUGACUCAGAGCGAGUACGGGAGCAUCCACACGGGAGCCUGGUGGGAGCCGCAGGUAAUUGCAAAGGGCCCGACAGAUGAGACGUGGUGAGAGAAAGCUCCCUGGAGAGAGGAAGCACUGCACAGAGAGGGGGACAGCUGUGGAGACGAAGAUCUAUCCUUACCCUUCAGUAAGUUCCCAAAGGAGUUUUGGACCCAACCUAGGAAAUAAAAUCAAACAAGGACAUGAAUAAAACACUCUAUAACAGCUUCACUUAACAUUUCCAGGCAUUUCUCAGUGAUGUCACUGCUUUUGGGUAGCAAAUAAAUUCCUAUAGACACCAGAA